rnacentral:rRNA from 1 species
AUUGAACGCUGGCGGCAGGCUUAACACAUGCAAGUCGAACGGCAGCACGGGGGCAAUCCUGGUGGCGAGUGGCGAACGGGUGAGUAAUAUAUCGGAACGUGCCCAGUCGUGGGGGAUAACGCAGCGAAAGCUGUGCUAAUACCGCAUACGAUCUAAGGAUGAAAGCGGGGGAUCGCAAGACCUCGCGCGAUUGGAGCGGCCGAUAUCAGAUUAGCUAGUUGGUGGGGUAAAGGCCCACCAAGGCGACGAUCUGUAGCUGGUCUGAGAGGACGACCAGCCACACUGGAACUGAGACACGGUCCAGACUCCUACGGGAGGCAGCAGUGGGGAAUUUUGGACAAUGGGCGCAAGCCUGAUCCAGCAAUGCCGCGUGCAGGAUGAAGGCCUUCGGGUUGUAAACUGCUUUUGUACGGAACGAAACGGCCCUUUCUAAUACAGGGGGCUAAUGACGGUACCGUAAGAAUAAGCACCGGCUAACUACGUGCCAGCCGCCGCAGUAAGAC